GACCUCAAGACAUUUUGUUUUUAUGUGCUGUGCAAAUAGCUGAAGGUUAAUUAGCAAUAUAACUAGUCGUGCCAUCAGUUUUCUUCAGAGACUG
ensembl:snoRNA